UACGUAGGGGGCAAGCGUUGUCCGGAAUCAUUGGGCGUAAAGCGCGCGUAGGCGGCCCGGUAAGUCCGUUGUGAAAGUCAAAGGCUCAACCUUUGAACGCCGAUGGAUACUGCCGGGCUAGAGUCCGGAAGAGGCGAGUGGAAUUCCUGGUGUAGCGGUGGAAUGCGCAGAUAUCAGGAGGAACACCAAUAGCGAAGGCAGCUCGCUGGGACGGUGCUGACGCUGAGGCGCGAAAGCGUGGGGAGCGAACAGG
rnacentral:rRNA from 1 species